AUACACUGUCAGGUAAUUGAUUGCGCAGUAGUGACUCGAAAUGAAACUAAUCGACGAUUUAUGUAUGUAAAUAUAAUCCAACAAACUAUUGCCGCAAUUAUUCCAGCAAAAUAAAUCGAAAAAUCAACACCAAAUAUAGAAGAAGAUAAAGAAAAAUAAUUGUUCCUGUACUUGUGCCAAAUAAAUUUAACCAGAAAGUUC
rnacentral:misc_RNA from 1 species